rnacentral:rRNA from 1 species
CAGUAGCCGCGGUAAAACGAAGGGUGCAAGCGUUACUCGAAAUUACUGGGCGUAAAGCGUGCGUAGGUGGUGGUUUAAGUCCGUUGUGAAAGCCCUGGGCUCAACCUGGGAAUUGCAGUGGAUACUGGGUCACUAGAGUGUGGUAGAGGAUAGUGGAAUUUCCGGUGUAGCAGUGAAAUGCGUAGAGAUCGGAAGGAACAUCUGUGGCGAAGGCGACUAUCUGGGCCAACACUGACACUGAGGCACGAAAGCGUGGGGAGCAAACAGGAUUAGAUACCCCCGUAGUCCCUGUCUCUUAUAC